GCUGGGCGUUGUGGCGGGUGCCUGUGGUCCCAGCUACUUGGGAGGCAGAGGCAGGAGACUCGCUUGAGCCCAGGAGUUGGUGGUUGCUGUGAGCUGAGAUGCCACAGCACUCUACCCAGGAGGAUGGCUUGAGGCUUCUGUCUCAAAAAAAUAAAUAAAUAAAAAUAAAGAAUUUUUGGAUUUUAUAUUUAAUUAUGUUUGAGAUUUGUUUUUUUUUGAGACAGAGCCUCAAGCUAUCCCCCUGGGUAGCGUGCCGUGGCAUCACAGCUCACAGCAACCUCCAAAUCCUGGGCUCAAGAGAGUCUCCUGCCUCAG
rfam:Otolemur garnettii contig161875, whole genome shotgun sequence.